CUGGCGUGGGGGACGGAAGCCAAGCUGAUAUCAUUCACCUGGACAAAUACAACAGAAAAAAUGGAAGGUGGGAAACUGUGGUGCAUACACACAACUCGAUUCCGACCACUGAUGGUAUACCUGCCGUAGUCGCUCGACUCCCACUCGUCUUAUCUGGAUACCAAGGCUCUAGGCAUCUGGACCGGAUACACAAUCUCAAGUCUUACUAAGUAUACGUAUAAGACCUGGCAACUGUCUACAGUAAAGUAGUCACCUCUCUGUAGUUACUACCAACAAUAACAUUUUUAAAUCAACCCUAAAAGGAGUAGGAGGCCAAUGGAGGGAAUGCAACACAGGUGUGAUGUGGUCUCUUCUCUUUUUUCCUGUCAAAAGGCGAGCGGCAGCGUUCUGGACGAGCUGGAGUCACUGGACAUAUGACUGGUCUAAACCAACAUAUGCCAAUGCCGAUGGAUGACGACACACUCGGAGCGUGCAUACAGAAAGUCUUUGUGAAGCAGCCAAGUGGUGAGGCCUUCAGACAGAAGGUGGGAUCCCGGCAUGUAUCUGAGGUUGUCGUCCCGGCAGGGGAGGGAGGCGCUCCUGGCAGGCCGAGACAAGGAGAAAACAAACAUGAUGCUGGAACAAGGCAGUGACAACAGAUCCCUGCUGAUAGAUACACUUAAAUGGUAAAUCAGGCCUGACUUGAUGGAAUAUAAUUUAGUUUAGUCGUACCUUCAGUGCACAUGAACUUUACAUAGAAAUAGAACUUAUCACAUAAAAAAAGUUUCUAAUUAGGCAAAAAAUAUAAUUAUCAUGAUAGAAUUUCACAUAGUUUAAAACUGACUUCUGCCUCUGAGUGAACGUUGGAAUAAAAAAUAGCUAAUUGUGCUUUUUUUAAACUUAUUUUCUAAACACUUUAAACAAAACAUUCAUAGCAAUCAUGAGUUGUGCGUUAGUGCAUAGACAUAAUAUUGACAUACUGGAUAUUGACCCUUUGUUAUCUUGACAUUAAAGACAAAUGACUGCGUUAUUGAAAUAUAAAAAACCUACAUUUAAAAUAAUCAAGACCAA